rnacentral:lncRNA from 1 species
UUCUGGAACAUUGCGGGUAUCAUACGGGUUUACACACUCUGAAGCUAAGUCAGAUGAAUUGCAAAUUAUGUACAUAGGAACGACAUUAAGAAGAGCAUGACCAGCAGCAUGCAAACCUCCUCGGAAUGAAUAAUUUAGGGUCUCUACAGCUGUCUUUAUGGUCUGCUUCAGCAUAAAUUUCAGGAGACAAUGAGAGAACAAUUCUAAUGUAUGUUAACUCAGACAGAGAACAUGUUGAGCCAGAUCUAAAAGCUCAUGUGCUUGAAACUUACAUAGGAACGACAUUAAGAAGAGCAUGACCAGCAGCAUGCAAACCUCCUCGGAAUGAAUAAUUUAAGGUCUCUACAGCUGUCUUUAUGGUCUGAGGGACUUGAAUCCAGAAAGCCUGCAUGUGCAUUACAGCUACAAAUUACAAAGAAGAAAGAGUACUAAAACAGUGA